UGAGGAAUAUUGGGCAAUGCCCGCAAGGGUGACCCAGCAACGCCGCGUGGAGGAUGAAUGUCGUAAGAUUGUAAACUCCUGUUAGAGGGGAAGAAUAGUACCGGUUGGACCGGUAUAUGACUGUACCCUCAGAGAAAGCCCCGGCUAACUACGUGCCAGCAGCCGCGGUAAUACGUAGGGGGCAAGCGCUGUCCGGAUUUACUGGGUGUAAAGGGCGCGCAGGCGGGAUAAAAAGUCAGUGGUGAAAUCCUACAGCUUAACUGUAGAACUGCCUGUGAUACUUUUAUUCUUGAGUUCGGGAGAGAGAGACAGAAUUCCAGGUGUAGUGGUGAAAUACGUAGAUAUCUGGAAGAACACCAGUUGGGAAGGCGGUAUCUUGGUCCGACACUUACGCUGAGGCGCGAAUGCGUGGGGAGCAAACA
rnacentral:rRNA from 1 species